UACGAAGGGUGCUAGCGUUGUUCGGAAUUACUGGGCGUAAAGCGCGCGUAGGCUGCUAUCUAAGUCAGAGGUGAAAUCCUGAGGCUCAACAUCAGAAUUGCCUUUGAAACUAGAUAGCUGGAGUGUCGGAGGGGAUAGCGGAAUUGCUAAUGUAGCGGUGAAAUGCGUAGAUAUUAGCAGGAACACCGGUGGCGAAGGCGGCUAUCUGGACGACAACUGACGCUGAGGCGCGAAAGCGUGGGGAUCAAACAGG
rnacentral:rRNA from 1 species